ACACGCCAUCAACCUCCAGACCCUCUCGCCGUGGCUUAGAGGUGUCUCUGACAACGUGGCACACUGGGAAGGCCUUCUUUCCUGCUACCAAUACAAAUGCAUUCUGAAUUUGAUAUGUCAUUAAAUGUAAAAAUACAGCCAAUUUGAAACAAGCAAAUGGAAAUUCCCAGGAACCAAAAACAGAAAGAAAAAUCAGAGCUACCGCAGUGCUGUCCCUGCAGACAGAAUUUGGGAGAGGUACUCAGAGUCACCUCCUGUGAGCCUAUGCAAGCCAGCUCCUGCACAACCCUGGUUUUAGUCCAGCCUUCUGCAGAAUUCCACAUUAAACAGGAUGAAGAAUAGGUUGUUAGCAGACUGAGGUACUUGGGGCAACAUUUCGUACACAACAGGAGGGAGAAACGACUCCAGAAAAACAAUCAGAUUUUGGUGAAACUGAUGUUUGCAAGUGUGAGUGAGCCCCAUGUGCUGAAGCUUCAGGAACCCCUGAGAUGGCACAAGUUCUGCCGUACUGGGCAACGGAUGGUCUUGAAGCACACAAGACACUGGAAGACAUGAGGGCAAUUGCUACACGCCAAGCCCGGUGCCAAGCACGUUGUGCAGGUUGUUUCGUUGAUUCCGGGCCUGGCCUUUGAGAUCUGUGGAGGAUACCAUGAACUGGCUGGCUCUGCAUCCUGCUUGCAGGCGCUGGCAAGCUGGAACCUGCUUUUCUACGCCACACUGCAGAGGGCCCUGAAUGUGAUCUAUGAUUGCAACAAGCAGCCCUGAUGCGGAUCCGGAGGGCAGGGAUGACGUGGGGGCUGCCUUUCUGGUUGACCUGCUGGUAAGCAUGGCCUCAUGGAUCUAUCACCAACAGCACCCAGUCACUUGGGGAGGCCGAGUGGCAGGGCUGGGGCAUCCAUCAGGGUUUGAUUUUGCUUAUGUGGACCGGCAGGUGCAGCACAGCUGCAUUUUAGUGCAGGGCUUCCUGAUCCUGCUGCACAGCUAACACCGUUCUUCCCGAAGGCAGCAGCUCCCCCACGGGGCUGUUUCCCCAGUUCUGGGCAUCAGUCCCAGAGGCAAAGACGGGAGCCAUCCACUCUGACUCUGCCAACAAUUCUGUGAGCACCCAGUUCUCUGUAUGAAAUUCCUUUCUGCUUUAGAUAAUUAAAAUAACUUUUCUUCCCCUGCAA
rnacentral:lncRNA from 1 species